GAUGAACGCUGGCGGCGUGCCUAAUACAUGCCAGUCGAGCGAACAGAUGAGGAGCUUGCUCCUCUGACGUUAGCGGCGGACGGGUGAGUAACACGUGGAUAACCUACCUAUAAGACUGGGAUAACUUCGGGAAACCGGAGCUAAUACCAGAUAAUAUAUUGAACCGCAUGGUUCAAUAGUGAAAGACGGUUUUGCUGUCACUUAUAGAUGGAUCCGCGCCGCAUUAGCUAGUUGGUAAGGUAACGGCUUACCAAGGCAACGAUGCGUAGCCGACCUGAGAGGGUGAUCGGCCACACUGGAACUGAGACACGGUCCAGACUCCUACGGGAGGCAGCAGUAGGGAAUCUUCCGCAAUGGGCGAAAGCCUGACGGAGCAACGCCGCGUGAGUGAUGAAGGUCUUCGGAUCGUAAAACUCUGUUAUUAGGGAAGAACAAAUGUGUAAGUAACUAUGCACGUCUUGACGGUACCUAAUCAGAAAGCCACGGCUAACUACGUG
rnacentral:rRNA from 1 species